rnacentral:rRNA from 1 species
CCUACGGGUGGCAGCAGUGAGGAAUAUUGGUCAAUGGCCGGAAGGCUGAACCAGCCAUGCCGCGUGAAGGUCAGUGCCCUAUGGGCGUUAAACUUCUUUUGUGCGGGAGCAAUAAUGGUCACGUGUGGCCAGACGAGAGUACCGUACGAAUAAGCAUCGACUAACUCCGUGCCAGCAGCCGCGGUAAUACGGGGGAUGCAAGCGUUAUCCGGAUUUAUUGGGUUUAAAGGGUGCGUAGGCUGUGAGGUAAGUCAGCGGGGAAAUGCCCCCGCUCAACGGGGUGAAGUGCCAUUGAUACUGCCUUGCUGGAAUGCGGAUGCCGUGGGAGGAAUGUGUGGUGUAGCGGUGAAAUGCAUAGAUAUCACACAGAACACCGAUUGCGAAGGCAUCUCACGAAUCCGCGAUUGACGCUGAUGUACGAAAGCGUGGGUAUCAAACAGGAUUAGAUACCCUAGUAGUC